rnacentral:rRNA from 1 species
UACAGAGGGUGCGAGCGUUAUUCGGAAUUAUUGGGCGUAAAGCGCGUGUAGGCGGCGUGACAAGUCGGGUGUGAAAGCCCUCAGCUCAACUGAGGAAGUGCGCCCGAAACUGUCGUGCUUGAGUGCCGGAGAGGGUGGCGGAAUUCCCCAAGUAGAGGUGAAAUUCGUAGAUAUGGGGAGGAACACCGGUGGCGAAGGCGGCCACCUGGACGGCUACUGACGCUGAGACGCGAAAGCGUGGGGAGCAAACAGG